GGUGAACGCUGGCGAUGUGCCUAAUACAUGCAAAUCGAGCGAAUCUUUUGGGAGCUUGCUCCCUUAAGAUUAGCGGCGGACGGGUGAGUAACACGUGGGUAACCUGCCUGUAAGACUGGGAUAACUUCGGGAAACCGGAGCUAAUACCGGAUAGGUUCUUUUCUCGCAUGAGGGAAGAUGGAAAGAUGGUUCUGCUAUCACUUACAGAUGGACCCGCGGCGCAUUAGCUAGUUGGUGAGGUAACGGCUCACCAAGGCGACGAUGCGUAGCCGACCUGAGAGGGGGAUCGGCCACACUGGGACUGAGACACGGCCCAGACUCCUACGGGAGGCAGCAGUAGGGAAUCUUCCGCAAUGGACGAAAGUCUGACGGAGCAACGCCGCGUGAGCGAAGAAGGCCUUCGGGUCGUAAAGCUCUGUUGUAAGGGAAGAACAAGUACGAGAGUAACUGCUCGUACCUUGACGGUACCUAACCAGAAAGCCACGGCUAACUACGUGCCAGCCGCCGCCGUAA
rnacentral:rRNA from 1 species